rnacentral:rRNA from 1 species
UACGACUACAUAUCAGGCAUAUCAAUAAGCGGAGGAAAAGAAACUAACAAGGAUUCCCUUAGUAACGGCGAGUGAAGCGGGGAGAGCUCAAAUUUGAAAUCUUCAAGGUUUUACCUUGACGAAUUGUAGUUUAAAGAAGUGUUUUCUGUUGAAGUUUUGGUAAAAGUUCUUUGGAAUAGGACAUCAUAGAGGGUGAGAAUCCCGUAUUUGACCAUUAUUUUCAGCUGUGUGAUACACUUUCAAAGAGUCGGAUUGUUUGGGAAUGCAGUCCAAAAUGGGUGGUAAAUUUCAUCUAAAGCUAAAUAUUGGCGAGAGACCGAUAGCGAACAAGUACCGUGAGGGAAAGAUGAAAAGAACUUUGAAAAGAGAGUUAAACAGUACGUGAAAUUGUCAAAAGGGAAGCGUUUGACACCAGUGUUGUUUUCUCGAAAAUCAAUUAAAAAAGGCGGGGUUUUGUGUUGUAUUGACCUUAACAGCUUGCUUCACUCUUUUCCAGCUUUUUUUAAUGCACUUUUCGUUUAACAAGUCAACAUCAGUUUCUUUUGUUGUAAAAGGGUCAUUGGAAGGUGGCUUUCUCUUCGGAGAAAGUGUUUAUAGCCUUUGAUCUCUGCAAUCGGAGAGACUGAGGUCUGCAGCGUAGAUCCUUCGGGGUUAGAUACAUUUGUGCUAAGCUACAGCUUUUCAUAGACAACUUGUUGACUAUGUUUAGUCUUGUGACUUACCCGCUUAUGCUAUUUUACCUACGCUUAGGAUGUUGAGCGCAUGUCUCUCUCU